GCCAACUUUUGUACUCACAAAAUGAAAAGUAAGAAAGGAAAAAUGUACAUUAAUAUAUUAUGACUCUUUUUUCUUUUCCAUCCGAUAUAUGUUACCUAGACUAAUUCAGAUUCAGAUCGAGUAAGGCCCAUUAAAAGAUGAAAGCUGUUGUGAACAAGGCUAACACAGUAAUGAUUUAUGGGCCAAAUUUGUUGAACAAGACUGAUCCAGUUUGAUUAUCGGGGAGUUAUAUUUGGGAUCCGGGGAUAUGCAGGGCAUGGGAACUAUUGAGAGAAAUGUCUAAAUCCUCUCCUCCCAAUUAUGAGUCUAGCUUCUCAUCCCCUUCUUUGGUUCUGUUCUAUCUUACUUAGCUUCUGCACUUUUGUAUUUUCAUUACUGUUGCUCUAAUUUGUUGAGUUGUAAUCGUUAGAUAUUAUCAUCAAUAUAAUUUGUAUUUUGGAGUUGUUACAUUGGUGCUUUCAUCCGGAGGUCUUCAAUGGAGGACCAAAUAAUUCGAACUAUCGAUGAUUCAAUUAAUGUCAUGAAGUAUUCAUGGUCUAAGGAUUUGGCUGAAAUUCGUUCACUGUUACAGGAGUUGCUUGGAAAUAAGCCCACUCCGGUGGAAUUCCGACGAUUCUGUGGCGAGAAUCCAGAGUUCUGGAUUUCUCUGGCUUAACGAUACUUUGCAUUCUAUGGAAUUUCAGAAAACAACAUGUUACUUCUCGCCUCGUCCUAUCUCGAUGGAGAAGCUUUAGAUUGGUACCGAUGGCUCUUUCAGAACAAGCAGCUGGUGGAUUGGGAACAUUUUAUUGCGAAGGUGCGAAUUCGAUUCCGUCGAAAGGGACUAGAAUCAGUCGAAGGACGAUUGGCGAAGCUCCGACAAACAACUACUGUGUCUGAGUACCAGAGUCGUUUUGAGGCUAUUUUAUUAGGCUUUGGCGAGUCAGAGCAAUCCGAAUACAGAGGCAAAACGGAAGCGUGCAAGGUGUUCGAUGAAAUGUUUGAAAAGGAGAUCGAUCGUAAGCAUAGAUGAAUGUUGGCAAUACCAAUGACCAAGUAUUCAACAUUAGUUCUCUUUCAAACGUAACUACCUUACUCCCUAUAACACCAAUUGAGUUUGCCUUCAAGGAUGGAAAGUCCGAGGAAGAGAGCGAUGUGAAAGUGCUAGUCGAAGGCUCAGUGCCUGCGGUUCAACCGCAGCUGACUGCUACUAGCCUAAUCAAGGAAGCUGCAAAUAUUGAACAGAAAUUGGUUCCAGAGCAUUUUUGCCCAAUCUUACAGCAUCUCGCUCACAGGACGGAAACAGAACAUCUUGAGAAAAUCAUGUGAAAACAUUUGGAGUAUAUUAUCAAGUGUCGAGUUCCAAGUCUUCAAUCUCUUAUCAACCAAACUAUGACUGAGCUGGAAAUUGAGUUGAACCCUCAUAGAAAUCACAUUAUCACGGCACCAGAGAUAAAUUCCAAGACCUUAACUCUAAGAUCCUAUUCAGAGUAUGUGGUUUCUAACUCUAUGACUCACGUUGUGGGAUCCGGGAUGGCAAUGGUGUAUGUAUUUCUCCAUUUUUUUGUCUGAUUUUGCAUUGGUAGUUGCUACAUCUUCAAUUUUUAAUCUCUUUGAUAAUUACUUAGAAAAGAAUAACCUGAAUAAAAAAAGAAAGAAGAUGGAACUGUUUGUGUUCUCUUAUCAGUGCAUGAGUUUGACAUAUGAAGAUGGGUGCCAUGUCUUGCUUGAUGCCUAUGCAUUGGGGCCUAAAGACAUAGAGACUAGGGACAUGCUACUGAAGGCAUUUAAAAGUGACGGUGAUACUUCUCAAGUUGAAGCUUCAACGCUUUCUUGUUUUAGCUUGCACUCACCAGAACAUGACUUGGGGAAGAAUAUAUACUAGUCUUGGAUGAAUAUUUGGACGUUAAACAUAAAGCUUCGGUGGAGAACUUCAUAUGGUCAAUAGUUUCACAACAUGACUUUAGUACUGCCCUUGAUUGUGAAACUGAGAUUUGCUACAGGUGCUUGUUGGAAUGAAUCAUAUUGCACCACUUCAUGCUGUUAUUGGGUUCCAAAACUAUGCGCAAUUUGACGAGAUUCAAACUAGUGUUCGUGGUCCUGUGUAAAUAGUAGAAAGAAAUGGUGAUGAACAUUUAGUUAAAUUCGUGUAUGCCAACAACUGGUCCUCCAAGAUUUGUUUACGUGGACUUGUUGGAAGAAAAAAUUGGUAUACUUAUAUUGUCACUAUAGGUGAUGGUGGGGUGUUACAAUAUUUUGAAUCUGUGGUGGUGGCAGAUAUUGGAGCAAUAUUCUCGUCAAUAGAAAUUAUUUGUAUGUUGCAGGUUCUUUAUCAAGAUAGGGCUCUUUUUCAAUAUACCCUUACAACUAUUGUUAUGCUCAUUAGUACACUGGUCUUUGGCUUCUUGACAAAAUCACUUGUUAGCCAUCUACUUUCUUAUCAUGGCAGUACUAAGAGUAUAGACAGAGAACCAAGCAUCUCAAAAGAUAGGCCUUUGCUUGUAAUUGCAGAAUCUGCAACAAUCACAAUGGAUAUUUGGUCGUGUUGUUUGAAAGACUUGUAUAUGCACUCCAUUCUUACUGGAGGCUCAAUGCUCGCUUACAUCGGGCCAAUAUUUGGUGGGGGACAUGUUGCUAGCAGUGUUCCUAACUCGAACCUUGAGGACAAGGUUCUUUUUGAGGAGGUAGUAUUGUUGUGAACAAGGCUAACACAAUAAGGACUUAUGGGCCAAAUUUGUUAAACAAGACUGAUCCAGUUAGGACUAUUGGGCCAGGACCUAAUUUAAGAGAAAGCCCAAGGAUUAAACCUCUGUUUUAAAAGACAGAAUUGGGACUCGUCCGGGACUCGCCCCGGGGCGGAGCACUCGUAAAACGCCCCUGGGCUUAUGUGUGAGGCUUAGUUCCGCGAGACUUACGCAUCGGCCAUCGGGGCUUACGCCCCGGACACGCCCAACGCCCAGCGUACUGGGCUCGCCUAAUAGAACUUUAUGCAAGUGUAUGUAAUUAACCUUGUAAAUCCUCAAAUUUUCUUAAUAAAUCGUUGACUAUUCAAAAUUA